rnacentral:rRNA from 1 species
UACGUAGGGGGCAAGCGUUGUCCGGAUUUAUUGGGCGUAAAGAGCGUGUAGGCGGCCAGGUAGGUCUGCUGUGAAAACUUGGGGCUUAACUCCAAGCUUGCGGUCGAUACGGGCAGACUUGAGUUCGGCAGGGGAGACUGGAAUUCCUGGUGUAGCGGUGAAAUGCGCAGAUAUCAGGAGGAACACCGGUGGCGAAGGCGGGUCUCUGGGCCGAUACUGACGCUGAGGAGCGAAAGCGUGGGGAGCGAACAGG